rnacentral:rRNA from 1 species
UACGUAGGAGGCAAGCGUUGUCCGGAAUUACUGGGCGUAAAGCGCGUGUAGGUGGUGGGACAAGUCUGCUGUGAAAGCGCCUGGCUUAACCGGGCGAGGUCGGCGGAAACUGUCCGACUCGAGGACGGUAGAGGGUAGUGGAAUUCCCGGUGUAGCGGUGAAAUGCGUAGAGAUCGGGAGGAACACCAGUGGCGAAGGCGGCUACCUGGACCAGCACUGACACUGAGGCACGAAAGCGUGGGGAGCAAACAGG